rnacentral:rRNA from 1 species
GACGAACGCUGGCGGCGUGCCUAAUACAUGCAAGUAGGACGCAGUUGCGAACGGGUGAGUAACGCGUAGGUAACUACCUAUUAGAGGGGGAUAACUAUUGGAAACGAUAGCUAAUACCGCAUACUAGUAGCUUGACCUGCGUUGUAUUAGCUAGUAGGUAGGGUAAUGGGCUACCUAGGCAACGAUACAUAGCCGACCUGGGAGGGCUAACGGCCACAGUGGGACUGAGAAACGGGUCAGACUCCUAAGGGAGGCAGCAGUGGGGAAUCGUCGGAAAUGGGGGGAACACUUACCGAGCAACGCCGCGUGAGUGAAGAAGGUUUUCGGAGCGUAAAGCUCUGUUGUUAAGGAAGCGGUACUUAACCAGAAAGGGACGGCUAACUACGUGCCAGCAGCCGCGGUAAUAC